rnacentral:rRNA from 1 species
UACGUAGGGGGCAAGCGUUGUCCGGAUUUACUGGGCGUAAAGGGCGCGUAGGCGGAUAGUUUAGUCAGAGGUGAAAGCCCAGGGCUCAACCUUGGAAUUGCCUUUGAUACUGGCUAUCUUGAGUUCGGGAGAGGUGAGUGGAAUGCCGAGUGUAGAGGUGAAAUUCGUAGAUAUUCGGCGGAACACCAGUGGCGAAGGCGACUCACUGGCCCGAUACUGACGCUGAGGCGCGAAAGCGUGGGGAGCAAACAGG